rnacentral:rRNA from 1 species
AGUACUCGAGUGGCGAACGGGUGAGUAACACGUGGGUAAUCUGCCCUGCACUCUGGGAUAAGCCUGGGAAACUGGGUCUAAUACUAGAUAUGACCUUUCUCCUUAUGGGGUUUGGUGGAAAGUUUUUCGGUGUAGGAUGAGCCCGCGGCCUAUCAGCUUGUUGGUGGGGUGAUGGCCUACCAAGGCGACGACGGGUAGCCGGCCUGAGAGGGUGAUCGGCCACAUUGGGACUGAGAUACGGCCCAG